rnacentral:misc_RNA from 1 species
GAUGAAGAACGCAGCGAAAUGCGAUAAGUAAUGUGAAUUGCAGAAUUCAGUGAAUCAUCGAAUCUUUGAACGCACAUUGCGCCCGCCAGUAUUCUGGCGGGCAUGCCUGUUCGAGCGUCAUUACAACCCUCAGGCCCCCGGGCCUGGCGUUGGGGAUCGGCGGAAGCCCCCUGCGGGCACAACGCCGUCCCCCAAAUACAGUGGCGGUCCCGCCGCAGCUUCCAUUGCGUAGUAGCUAACACCUCGCAACUGGAGAGCGGCGCGGCCACGCCGUAAAACACCCAACUUCUGAAUGUUGACCUCGAAUCAGGUAGGAAUACCCGCUGAACUUUAGCAUAUCAAUAAGCGGAGGA